AGAGUUUGAUCAUGGCUCAGGACGAACGCUGGCGGNGUGCUUAACACAUGCAAGUCGAACGAGAGGACAUGAAAAGCUUGCUUUUUAUGGAAUCGAGUGGCAAACGGGUGAGUAACGCGUAAGCAACCUGCCCUGCAGAUGGGGACAACAGCUGGAAACGGCUGCUAAUACCGAAUACGAAGCAGCUCCCGCAUGGGGGCAGCUUGAAAGGAUGGCCUCUGAAUAUGCUAUCGCUGCAGGAGGGGCUUGCGUCUGAUUAGCUGGUUGGAGGGGUAACGGCCCACCAAGGCGACGAUCAGUAGCCGGUCUGAGAGGAUGAACGGCCACAUUGGGACUGAGACACGGCCCAGACUCCUACGGGAGGCAGCAGUGGGGAAUCUUCCGCAAUGGACGAAAGUCUGACGGAGCAACGCCGCGUGAGUGAAGACGGCCUUCGGGUUGUAAAGCUCUGUUAUACGGGACGAACGGGCGGGAUGCUAAUACCAUCCUGUUGUGACGGUACCGUAAGAGAAAGCCACGGCUAACUACGUGCCAGCAGCCGCGGUAAUACGUAGGUGGCAAGCGUUGUCCGGAAUUAUUGGGCGUAAAGGGUGCGCAGGCGGUCUCUUAAGUCUGUCUUAAAAGUGCGGGGCUCAACCCCGUGAGGGGACGGAAACUGGGAGACUGGAGUAUCGGAGAGGAAAGCAGAAUUCCUAGUGUAGCGGUGAAAUGCGUAGAUAUUAGGAGGAAUACCAGUGGCGAAAGCGGCUUUCUGGACGACAACUGACGCUGAGGCACGAAAGCCAGGGGAGCGAACGGGAUUAGAUACCCCGGUAGU
rnacentral:rRNA from 1 species